rnacentral:lncRNA from 1 species
ACAACAGGAACACAUAUAGCUGGAAUGCAGAUGGGAUCUGUGCUACUUACGCUAGCCAUGGGAUGAUUAGAACAAGAUAAGAGACAUGAGGAAGACUUCUUCAAGGAGGUGCUCAAGCCAUGUUUUGGAAAAGAGAACUCAAGGUCUGGCAGGGAGAAAGGAGCAAGGUCCUCUUCUCCCUGAAGCCUGUCACAGUUCCUGUGCAGAGAGAGAGGGCACUGCAGCACCCAGGCGCUGACUGCCUUUUGUCAGUCUCAUUUGCAGGCCCCCAGCUGGAGAACCCAGGAGGAAGAGGAAAAAAGUUUUUUCCUCCUCUACACUCCCCAUGCAUGACUAAAGAGUAGGAGGAGUCAGCAAGGCAGACAUAUAUAGUACCCAGGAGGUGGACAAACAACUGCCUUGGUGGAAACUCUGUCCUUUCUGGACUUAUCCUGGUGCCACUGAGACUGUGCAGAUUUAGAUCUACAAUCCACCUGGAAUUGAUUUUUGUAUAUGGAGUGAGGUCCCACACUUACGGGGAAAGCAUCACCCGAAAGUGAGAACGCCUAGAGGCAGGAAUCAUGGAGGUUUCCUUAACUGUCUGUCUGCAACAGCAGGUGCUAGAGAUGACACUGCAGAGUAGAGAACAAAGGAAUCUUAGUAAUUGUUCAAUCCAAUCUCCACACUUUAAAGAUGAAGAAACUGGUAUUGAGAAAAAUACACAGCUUAUCCAAGGUUGCACUGCCGGUUGGUAGCUGAGAUGAAUUUAGAACCCACAUCUGAUGACUACACCAUAUUGCUCCCAGUUUCCCUGUCUGUUCCACAUGUAAAAGUCUGACUCUUCACUUCUCCUUUGAGUAUAUAGACUUUUAACAUUUUUGUAUGUCAAGAUGGACUUUUCCUCAUACCCAGCCCCUGCCUUUUCUCCUCCCUUCAUACCUUGCAGGAUCUUUAACAGAAUUUAAAAGGAGUUUUUUGUUUUGUUUUGAUGUAUCUAAUAAAAGUCAAGGGAGGGAGAGGGCCAGUAUAAGCAAGAGAACGGUUUACCUAUUUUGUAGAUGCUGUAGUCUGAGGAAUCAGAAACACACAAAGGUUUGAAGAACUGGUACAUGCUCCCAGAUGGGAAGCCAGGACUCUUGGUAGGAUCUUGAGGACAAGGCAAAGGACAAUAAGAGAGUGAGGGGAUCCUAGAGAUGGAAUCAAGGAAGAGAAACUAGAGAGAGAAAAAGGAACUGGCUAUCCAUCCAAGAUGGAUCCUGUGUGGACUGAUGGGUGCCUUGGCAUCAUCAUUUAGCAGACUUCAUGUGGUUGAAUAAUUGGCCAAUGGAAGGAAUUUCUUUUUUGGUAACAGACUGUGUGUGUACAGUUAUGGGUCUUAAUUUAUAAUAAAAGGUUACAUUGAAAAUUGA